CAAAGUUGCCUUUCCCACAGGCUCUAAACCACACGUCAAUAGAAUUCGCAAUAUGUUAUCAAAUUAACUUUUUAUUUGGACGUUUUAUGGCGGUAUACGUCAACCCCCUAACGUUAUUUUGAGCUUAUCCGGGCAACCCCGGUCACCAAGGUUAAGCGGUUGCUUUUCUUGCGUUUUUAAACUAUCCGUUUGCCAUAUUUGGCAACUGUGUGUGUAUGUGUCUGCGUCAUGGACUCACUCCCGAACCGUAAGUUAACUAUGAUUCAACACGCAGCGUGUGACGUAGUUUUAAAUGCGGAGAAGAGCAACCAAGUGUUUAUAGUAACAUAUUAAACCACGCAACAACACCGCGAUUUAAAAAACGUUUUGCUUACGCGUGUAGUGCGUGGUCAUGGUAACUGGUAACGAAGCAACACGCCAACCAAUAAUUAGUGAAGCCGUGGGACAACACUUACGAAGUGCUUGGAAACCGUACUUUAAUUGGCAGCUCCAGACCGUCUACUAAAUCGAUAACAGCUGGGCCGAAGAUGACCAGCCAAGCAUACAACCCAACACAAAUGAUGAUUCUAUUGUUUGAUCGUUUCACUUUCCCUUGGUAGUCCACUGAGACAAAAUACAGGUGUUGUAUAUGACCCGAAAGGUCACCUUGUUAUACGUUUACUGGUGUACACGGCGCCAUAAACGACACGCUUGUUUUUAGACAAACAACAGCUUGAUGACUAAAAGGGUUUUUCUCUGAACAAGCCCCUUACUGUGGCAAUCGUUAGCUAAUUUGAGAAGUGCUGAAUCACAGCUAUGUAAAUGCUUUGCUGGGACAUAGUUUUAUUGCGAGUUAAUAAACGACAACCCCGCUUAAAUAAACGAGUCUUCACAUUAUACAAUUUAUAUAUGGUAGUGUGGGGAAAGGUGGGGCACCAUUCAUUUUAUUUUUUCGUCCCAUUUAGUAGUAAACAAUAAACAUUCAAGGAGUUAUAAAUCUGUAUUCUCACCAAUUCCAUAGACCAUUGUUAAAUGUUUAAAACAUAAUCAGGAUAUUUGGAUAUUAUGUGAUAAAGUUGUCCCAUCUUCCCCCACAGUACUCUUUGAACAGUGUUUGUAUAUGGAUUAUUGAAUAAACAAAAAAGUCGCUUGAACAUACAAAAAUGUACCACAAUAUAAUUGUUAGUGUACGAAUACAAUAUUUGUUUUCAUGGUUCAACUCAAUGAAACUUUUGAUGAUUCCAAACAGCACAAUAUCACGUUACCAACCCCGUAGCUCGCUCGUAACAUGCUCUUAAUGCUCGUCAGCGACAUCAAGUUAGAAAGGUCAGAAAACUAUUUCUUCAACCUCAAACUUUUACAAAAACUUUCACCGAUUAAAAAAAUUAGCUGUAAAUUAAACUAGUCAGUUUGAAUCU